rnacentral:rRNA from 3 species
GUUGGGUAGGGGAGCGUUCUGUAAGCCUGCGAAGGUGGCCUGUGAGGGUUGCUGGAGGUAUCAGAAGUGCGAAUGCUGACAUAAGUAACGAUAAAGCGGGUGAAAAGCCCGCUCGCCGGAAGACCAAGGGUUCCUGUCCAACGUUAAUCGGGGCAGGGUGAGUCGACCCCUAAGGCGAGGCCGAAAGGCGUAGUCGAUGGGAAACGGGUUAAUAUUCCCGUACUUGGUGUUACUGCGAAGGGGGGACGGAGAAGGCUAUGUUGGCCGGGCGACGGUUGUCCCGGUUUAAGCGUGUAGGUGUGUGUUCCAGGUAAAUCCGGUUCACUUUAACACUGAGGCGUGAUGACGAGGCACUACGGUGCUGAAGCAACAAAUGCCCUGCUUCCAGGAAAAGCCUCUAAGCAUCAGGUAACAUCAAAUCGUACCCCAAACCGACACAGGUGGUCAGGUAGAGAAUACCAAGGCGCUUGAGAGAACUCGGGUGAAGGAACUAGGCAAAAUGGUGCCGUAACUUCGGGAGAAGGCACGCUGACACGUAGGUGAAGUGAUUUACUCAUGGAGCUGAAGUCAGUCGAAGAUACCAGCUGGCUGCAACUGUUUAUUAAAAACACAGCACUGUGCAAACACGAAAGUGGACGUAUACGGUGUGACGCCUGCCCGGUGCCGGAAGGUUAAUUGAUGGGGUCAGCGCAAGCGAAGCUCCUGAUCGAAGCCCCGGUAAACGGCGGCCGUAACUAUAACGGUCCUAAGGUAGCGAAAUUCCUUGUCGGGUAAGUUCCGACCUGCACGAAUGGCGUAAUGAUGGCCAGGCUGUCUCCACCCGAGACUCAGUGAAAUUGAACUCGCUGUGAAGAUGCAGUGUACCCGCGGCAAGACGGAAAGACCCCGUGAACCUUUACUAUAGCUUGACACUGAACAUUGAGCCUUGAUGUGUAGGAUAGGUGGGAGGCUUUGAAGUGUGGACGCCAGUCUGCAUGGAGCCGACCUUGAAAUACCACCCUUUAAUGUUUGAUGUUCUAACGUGGACCCGUAAUCCGGGUUGCGGACAGUGUCUGGUGGGUAGUUUGACUGGGGCGGUCUCCUCCUAAAGAGUAACGGAGGAGCACGAAGGUUGGCUAAUCCUGGUCGGACAUCAGGAGGUUAGUGCAAUGGCAUAAGCCAGCUUGACUGCGAGCGUGACGGCGCGAGCAGGUGCGAAAGCAGGUCAUAGUGAUCCGGUGGUUCUGAAUGGAAGGGCCAUCGCUCAACGGAUAAAAGGUACUCCGGGGAUAACAGGCUGAUACCGCCCAAGAGUUCAUAUCGACGGCGGUGUUUGGCACCUCGAUGUCGGCUCAUCACAUCCUGGGGCUGAAGUAGGUCCCAAGGGUAUGGCUGUUCGCCAUUUAAAGUGGUACGCGAGCUGGGUUUAGAACGUCGUGAGACAGUUCGGUCCCUAUCUGCCGUGGGCGCUGGAGAACUGAGGGGGGCUGCUCCUAGUACGAGAGGACCGGAGUGGACGCAUCACUGGUGUUCGGGUUGUCAUGCCAAUGGCACUGCCCGGUAGCUAAAUGCGGAAGAGAUAAGUGCUGAAAGCAUCUAAGCACGAAACUUGCCCCGAGAUGAGUUCUCCCUGAGACUUAGAGUCUCCUGAAGGAACGUUGAAGACGACGACGUUGAUAGGCCGGGUGUGUAAGCGCAGCGAUGCGUUGAGCUAACCGGUACUAAUGAACCGUGAGGCUUAACCUU